rnacentral:rRNA from 1 species
UACGUAGGUGGCAAGCGUUGUCCGGAUUUAUUGGGUUUAAAGCGUGCGCAGGCGGUUCGUUGUGUCGGUGGUGAAAGCCCCGGGCUUAACCUGGGAAUGGCCAUGGAAACUGGCGAACUGGAGUGUGGCAGAGGGGGGUGGAAUUCCAGGUGUAGCGGUGAAAUGCGUAGAUAUCAGGAGGAACACCCGUGGCGAAAGCGGCUCUCUGGGACGGUACUGACGCUGAGACGCGAAAGCGUGGGGAGCAAACAGG